UACGGAGGGGGCUAGCGUUGUUCGGAAUUACUGGGCGUAAAGCGCGCGCAGGCGGCUUAGCAAGUUAGAGGUGAAAGCCCGGAGCUCAACUCCGGAAUUGCCUUUAAAACUGCAAAGCUAGAAUCAUGGAGAGGUGAGUGGAAUUCCGAGUGUAGAGGUGAAAUUCGUAGAUAUUCGGAAGAACACCAGUGGCGAAGGCGGCUCACUGGUCCGGUACUGACGCUGAUGUGCGAAAGCGUGGGGAGCAAACAGG
rnacentral:rRNA from 1 species